GCUUCCUACGGGACGCAGCAGUAGGGAAUAUUGCUCAAUGGGGGAAACCCUGAAGCAGCAACGCCGCGUGGAGGAUGAAGGUUUUCGGAUUGUAAACUCCUUUUGUUAGAGAAGCUAAUGACGGUAUCUAACGAAUAAGCACCGGCUAACUCCGUGCCAGCAGCCGCGGUAAUACGGAGGGUGCAAGCGUUACUCGGACUCACUGGGCGUAACGCGCGCGUCGGCGGGCUAGCCAGUCCGCUGU
rnacentral:rRNA from 1 species